GAAGUCGAGGUCGGUCCUACAGCGCCACCUGGAGGUAGGCUGAGAGGCUUGCCUCUGCCUAGGUGCUCUUCUGAGAGCUGCUCUGGAAUUUAGAGGCGGCAUCUUGUCCAGAACCAUCUGCAGACUCCCCUUAUUUGUUUUGGGCCCCAGAGCUAGUCUAGAUGGUCAUGCCCGAAGCAGUGGUGGAGUUGUGGCUUGUUCAAUAACAGAUUCAACCCUCAUCACCUUUAUGCAGAGUUAACUGUUGCAGUGGCAACUGAAGAUGGCAAUCUAACUAGCUUGGAGGUAUUGAAAUCGGCUUGUUGGACUCAGAUCUCUCUCAGUUGUGUGACCGGUGAUAAUUAAGUCAUUAGGCCUCAGCAUCUCCGUCCCGCAAGGGGACAGGAGGUGAAGAUUCAGGGAGGUAGUAGUGCACAGGUGCUCCUAGAACACAUCUGUAAUCUCAGCUUGUGGAAGGCGCAAGGUGAGUAUGACCUUAAGCUAAGUAGUACGUUCCAGAUCUAAGCUACAUGAGGCCUUGUUUCAAAACAAAACAACCUACAUGGUAUACAACCUGAUAAACUUAAGGGCCAGCAAGAUGACUCAGCAGGUAAAGGCACUAGCAAUGAAACCUGGUGAUGUGGGCGUGGUGGUGCAUGAUUUUAAUCGCAGCCCUCAGGAGGCAGAAGCAGGUGGAUCUCUGAGUUCGAGGGCAGCCUGGUCUACAGAGUUCCAAAGCAACCGGGGCUACACAGAGAAAUCCUGUCUCAAAAAAAGAAAAGAAAAUAUGAAAAAUUUUAAAUAAAGUACAGAAUGGCAUUUCCAUGACACUGCCAGGGUCUGAAAAGCAUGCCUGAGGAGCACCAGCUCGGCAGAGCACCGGCUCCAGCAGAACACAGGCUCCAGCAGAGCACCAGCUCCAGCAGAGCACCAGCUCCAGCAGAGCACCAGCUCCGGCAGAGCACCAGCUCCAGCAGAACACAGGCUCCAGCAGAACACCAGCUCCGGCAGAGCACCAGCUCCGGAGAGCACCAGCUCCAGCAGAACACAGGCUCCAGCAGAACACAGGCUCCAGCAGAGCACCGGCUCCGGCAGAACACAGGCUCCAGCAGAACACCGGCUCCGGCAGAGCACCAGCUCCAGCAGAACACCGGCUCCGAGAGGCGUAUUCUGAUUCAAUCUUAUUGACCUGGUAUCUCAAGUAUCUGUCCUCCUCCAGGACUGGCUCCAAGGCUGGCACUGAACUCCUAAUCCUCCUGCCUCUACCUUCUAAUUGCUGGGGUUACUGGCAUACAUCACCAUAACCAGCCACUUCCCAAAGAUUUCAGACCUUUCCCCAUUCAGAUGAAGUUCCGUUUCCCCCAGAAUCUGGCAUUGAAAGGCUGGCCGGGACUAAUGCAAUCGUGACAAAGACAUUAAGAGACGGGGCCGCCCAGCAAAGAUGAGCAAGCCUUGAAAUGAGUCAAGAAUCAUUUAUGAGAUGGAUUCCUUCUGAUUUAUCACUCCCUCUAUUGAUGCUCUAUCCCCUUGUACUUCAGAAAGAGGAAUUUGUAGAUAAGGCAGCUUCUGGGGUUUUGUUGUUGUUCUUGUUCUUGUUUUUUUAAAAGAUUUAUUUGUU
rnacentral:lncRNA from 1 species